UACGGGAGGCAGCAGUGGGGAAUAUUGCACAAUGGGCGCAAGCCUGAUGCAGCCAUGCCGCGUGUAUGAAGGAGGCCUUCGGGUUGUAAAGUACUUUCAGUCGUGAGGAAGGUGUUAAGGUUAAUAACCUUAGCAAUUGACGUUAGCGACAGAAGAAGCACCGGCUAACUCCGUGCCAGCAGCCGCGGUAAUACGGAGGGUGCGAGCGUUAAUCGGAAUUACUGGGCGUAAAGGGCACGCAGGCGGUUAAUUAAGUUGGAUGUGAAAUCCCCGGGCUUAACCUGGGAAUGGCAUUCAAGACUGGUUAGCUAGAGUCUUGUAGAGGGGGUAGAAUUCCAUGUGUAGCGGUGAAAUGCGUAGAGAUGUGGAGGAAUACCGGUGGCGAAGGCGGCCCCUGGACAAAGACUGACGCUCAUGUGCGAAAGCGUGGGGAGCAAAC
rnacentral:rRNA from 1 species